GUGCUCACUUCAGCAGCACAUAAUACUAAGGUUGGAAAGAUAUAGAAAAGAUUAGCAUGGCCCCUGAGCAAGGAUGACACGCAAAUUCAUGAAGUGUUCCAUAUUUUU